UACGUAGGGGGCGAGCGUUGUCCGGAUUUAUUGGGCGUAAAGAGCUCGUAGGCGGUUCGGCAAGUCAGAUGUAAAAAACUCCAGGCUCAACUUGGAGAGGCCAUCUGAUACUGCCGUGACUAGAGUCCGGUAGAGGAGCACGGAAUUCCUGGUGUAGCGGUGAAAUGCGCAGAUAUCAGGAGGAACACCGAUGGCGAAGGCAGGUCUCUGGGCCUGACCUGACGCUGAGGAGCGAAAGCGUGGGGAGCGAACAGG
rnacentral:rRNA from 1 species